GACGAACGCUGGCGGCGUGCUUAACACAUGCAAGUCGAGCGGUAAGGCCCUUUCGGGGGUACACGAGCGGCGAACGGGUGAGUAACACGUGGGUGACCUGCCCUCAGCUCUGGGAUAAGCCUGGGAAACCGGGUCUAAUACCGGAUAUGACUCCAUGACGCAUGUUGUGGGGUGGAAAGCCUUGUGCGGCUGAGGAUGGGCCCGCGGCCUAUCAGCUUGUUGGUGGGGUGAUGGCCUACCAAGGCGACGACGGGUAGCCGGCCUGAGAGGGCGACCGGCCACACUGGGACUGAGACACGGCCCAGACUCCUACGGGAGGCAGCAGUGGGGAAGUCUUGCGCAAUGGGCGAAAGCCUGACGCAGCGACGCCGCGUGAGGGAUGACGGCCUCGGUGU
rnacentral:rRNA from 1 species